GACGAACGCUGGCGGCGUGCUUAACACAUGCAAGUCGAACGGAAAGGCCCUUCUUUUGUGGGGUGCUCGAGUGUCGAACGGGUGAGUAACACGUGAGUAACCUGCCCUUGACUUUGGGAUAACUUCAGGAAACUGGGGCUCAUACCGGAUAGGAGCUCCUGCUGCAUGGUGGGGGUUGGAAAGUUUCGGCGGUUGGGGAUGGACUCGCGGCUUAUCAGCUUGUUGGUGGGGUAGUGGCUUACCAAGGCUUUGACGGGUAGCCGGCCUGAGAGGGUGACCGGCCACAUGGGGACUGAGAUACGGCCCAGACUCAUACGGGAGGCAGCAGUGGGGAAUAGUGAACAAUGGGCGGAAGCCUGAUGCAGCAACGCCGAGUGCGGGAUGACGGCCUUCGGGUUGUAAACCGCUUUCGCCUGUGACGAAGCGUGAGUGACGGUAAUGGGUAAAGAAGCACCGGCUAACUACGUG
rnacentral:rRNA from 1 species